AUUGAACGCUGGCGGAAUGCUUUACACAUGCAAGUCGAACGAUGAACCUUAGCUUGCUAAGGGGAUUAGUGGCGAACGGGUGAGUAAUAUAUCGGAACGUGCCUUGUAAUGGGGGAUAACUAGUCGAAAGAUUGGCUAAUACCGCAUACGCCCUGAGGGGGAAAGUAGGGGAUCUUCGGACCUUACGUUAUAAGAGCGGCCGAUAUCUGAUUAGCUAGUUGGUGGGGUAAUGGCCUACCAAGGCGACGAUCAGUAGCUGGUCUGAGAGGACGACCAGCCACACUGGAACUGAGACACGGUCCAGACUCCUACGGGAGGCAGCAGUGGGGAAUUUUGGACAAUGGGCGAAAGCCUGAUCCAGCCAUUCCGCGUGAGUGAAGAAGGCCUUCGGGUUGUAAAGCUCUUUCGCAAGGGAAGAAAACUUACAUUCUAAUAAAGUGUGAGGCUGACGGUACCUUGAUAAGAAGCACCGGCUAACUACGUGCCAGCAGCCGCGGUAAUACGUAGGGUGCGAGCGUUAAUCGGAAUUACUGGGCGUAGAGCGUGCGCAGGCGGUUUGGCAAGUCAGAUGUGAAAUCCCCGAGCUCAACUUGGGAACUGCGUUUGAAACUGCCAGACUAGAAUAUGUCAGAGGGGGGUAGAAUUCCACGUGUAGCAGUGAAAUGCGUAGAGAUGUGGAGGAAUACCAAUGGCGAAGGCAGCCCCCUGGGAUAAUAUUGACGCUCAUGCACGAAAGCGUGGGGAGCAAACAGG
rnacentral:rRNA from 1 species